GACGACCGCUGGCGGCGUGCCUAAUACAUGCAAGUCGAACGCAGUGGGGACGGGUGAGUAACACGUGGGUAACCUCCCAUCAGAGGGGAUAACACUUGGAAACAGGUGCUAAACCGAUACUGAUGGAUGAACCCGCGGUGCAUUAGCUAGUUGGUGAGGUAACGGCUCACCAAGGCCACGAUGCAUAGCCGAGCUGAGAGGGUGACAGGCCACGCUGUGACAUGGACACGGCCCAGACUGCUACGGGAGGCAGCAGUAGGGACGUUCAGGCAAAGGGCGAAGGUCGGACCGAGCAACGCCGCGGAAGUGAAGAAGGGUUUCGGAACGUAAAACGCAGUGGUGAGAGAAGGGGUAACUAACAGAAAAGCCACGGCUAACAACGUGCCAGCAGCCGCGGUAAUAC
rnacentral:rRNA from 1 species